rnacentral:rRNA from 1 species
CGCGUAGGCGGUCUUUUAAGUCGGGUGUGAAAGCCCGGGGCUCAACCCCGGAAGUGCACUCGAAACUAUCAGACUUGAGUAUGGGAGAGGGAAGUGGAAUUCCUGGUGUAGCGGUGAAAUGCGUAGAUAUCAGGAGGAACAUCGGUGGCGAAGGCGACUUCCUGGACCAAUACUGACGCUGAGGCGCGAAGGCGUGGGGAGCAAACA